rnacentral:rRNA from 1 species
AUCCCUUGGCCCCUUAAAAGGCGAUAAAGGGGAUUUGGUAAUCUGGAAAAGUUUCGGAAGUUGAUAAACAAACUAAAAAACCCCGGAGAUUUUCAAGGGGGAUAACCCCCCCAGGAAACCGGGGUACUUUUUUCUGAAUAAAAGGAAAUUUUAAGGGUUAAGUGGGGAAACCCUAAAAAACCCAUCUGGGAAAAAAGGGGGAAAAAAAAUAAACCCGAGAUUUUUGUUAGUAGCGGCGAGCAAAAGGAACAGCCCUUAAGCAUUUAAGAAAAAAAAAAAAGGGUUGGGAAGCUUGACCAUGAAUAUGGGUCCUGUUUUUUAAAUUUUUUUAAUUUGUGAAACGAUAGGUCGGACCUUAAAAUUUUGACUGAAAUGGGGGACCAUCCCCCAAAGGGCCCAAAACUCCUGGCUGACCGAGGUAAAACCGGGUACCGUGGGGGAAAGGCGAAAAAAACCCCCGGAGGGGGGGAAAAAGAACCUGAAAUCGUAUGCAUACAAGUUUGUGGGGCCUCUGUUUAUCUUGGGAUAAACGGGGGACUGCGUCCCUUUGGGGGGGAAAGGGGGCCAAGGAGUUACCCCCCUGUGGCGUUUAAUUUUUUUGGAGGGGGGGCAUAGGGAAACCGAGUUUUUUAGGGGGGAGCGCAGGGGGGGACCCGAAACCGGGCGAUCAUCCAUGGCCAGGGGUAAGGUGGGACUUACGGGAGGCCCAAAACCCACUUAUGUUGAAAAAUGGGGGUGAGCUGUGGAUUAAAAAGGCUAAUCGCUCGGAGAUAUUUUGGCCCCUCAAAAUUUUUAUUUAGGUAGCCCCCGUUUACUUUUUGGGGGGAAACACUAAUCCUCGGCUGGGGGUUACCCCGCCCUUACCAAACCGAACCCAAAACCCCAAUCCCAAAAGUAUUAGCACGGGGAACACAUUUGCGGGUGCUAACGUCCGUAGGGGAAAGGGAAAAAACCCAGAUCCCCAAAAGCAAGGGGUCCCAAAGUAAGGAUUAAGGGGGAAAAGGGAUGGGGGGAAGGCUUAAACAGAGGGUUGGCUUAGAAGCAGCCACCCUUUAAAAAAGAUAGCGUAACAGCUCACUAGUCGAGUCGGCCCCGGGAAGAUAUACGGGGGUAAAUCAUACACCGAAGCUGCGGAAAGGGUUUUUAAUCUAAGGAGAGGGGCGUUCCUUAACCCGUUUUUAAGGGGGGAUUUGGGGAAAAAUUUUCUGGGGGGUAUCAGAAGUGAGAAUGCUGACAUGAGUAACGAGAGAGAGGUGAAAAACCCCCUCCGCCCGGGAAAGACUAAGGUUUCCGUCCAACGCUAAUUUAAAAAAGGGUUGGUACCUAAGGCGAAAGGGGGAAAGCCUAGUCGAUGGAAAAAAAAAGGUUUAUUCCUGUACCGCAUUCCUCGAUGGAGGGAGAAGGCUGAUCAUCAGAGCGGGUGGUUGUCUCUGUUUUGGUUGUAGGGUCGAUAUUUUUUGGGAAAUCCGGGGUAUCUUUUUACUGAGAGCAAAGACGACGACCUUUUUUAAAUCGAAAAAUGAUUGAUGCCAUACUUCCCGGAAAAACCCCGGUUCCCGGUAAUAGGAAAAACCGACUGUAAACCGCAAAUUUGAAGGUAAAAAUACAAGGCGUUUGGGAAAAGAACUUGGGUUGGAACUAGGCUGGGACCGUAACUUCAGAAGGACGCCUCUAAGUGAAAGAACUUGCUUCUGGAAAACGGGGGAGGGGCGAAGAUACCAGGGUGGCUGGGACUGUUUACAAAAACAUAGCACUUGAAACAUUAAUGUGGAAGAAAGGGGUGACGCCCGCCCGGGUGCCGGGAAAGGGUUUAAAUUUUUUGGGGGUUUGUCCUCGGACGAAAUCGAUCGAAGCCCCGGUGAACGGGGGGGUAACUAUAACGGUCCUUGGGCGAAAUUCCUUGUCCCGGGAAGUUCCCACCUGCACGAAUGGCGUAACGAGGCCAUUUUCCCGUCCCCCCGACCCAGGGCCGGUGAAAUUGAAUUUUGGGAAGAUGCCGAACGCGGGGGGGAAAAACGGGAAAAACCCAAAGGCUUUUCUAUAGCUUCACACUUUGGGCUUUUUAAUUUAUAUGUGUAGGGUGGGGGGGGACCCUUUUAAGCAUUAGCGGGUUUUUUGUGGAGUCGUCCCCUUAAAUACACUUUUUAAAUUUGGGGUUCAACUUGGGCUCAAACUGGGGUUUAGGACAGUGUGGGGGGUGGGUAGUUUUACUGGGGGGGUCUCCCCCCCAAAGAGGGAACGGAGGGGUAGGGGAAAGGGUUUCCUCAGCCAAAGGGGGAGGGAUUUGUCUUGAGGCAAUGGCAAAAAGGGAGCUUAACUGGGGGGCCCACGGGUCGAGCAGGUACAAAAAAAAGGGCAUAGGGGGAUCCCGGGGGUUCCGAUGGGAAAGGGCCCUUUUUUCAACGGAUAAAAAGGGACGCCGGGGAUAACAGGCUUUUUACCCCCCAAAAGUUCCAAAACGACGGGGGUUUUGGACCCGGGUGUCGGUUUAAAAACAUCCUGGGGGGUGGGGGUCCCGGGGGCUGUUCGCCAAAAGUGGAGCGAGUUUGGGUUUGGGGAAAACCCCGGAGACGGAUUUUGGUCCCUAAACUGCCGUGGGGUUGGAGAUUUGGGGGAGGUUUUUUCCCCGGAGAGAGGACCCCGGGUUUAACGAACCCGGGCCCCGGGUUUUUUCACGCCUUUGGGAUUUUCCCGGUAGCUAUGUUCCGGGAAAAGGGAAAACCCCUUUUUUGGAUCUAAGGGGGCCCACCUCAAGGAAAAAGACCCCCCAGAUCCUUCGGGAUCCUAAAGAACCGUUCAAGACUAGGACGUUGAUAGGCAGGGUGUGUAAGUGCUGUAAGGCAUUGAGCUAACCUGUACUAAUUGUUCGUGAGGCUUAACU